UGCUGUAUAGCUUAGUUGGUAGAGUACUUGCCUAGCAUGCAUGAAACCCUGGGUUGGAUUCCUAGUACCGCAU
rfam:Cricetulus griseus cell line CHO-K1, whole genome shotgun sequence.